rnacentral:rRNA from 1 species
AUUAUUAGUAAAAUCUGCUCAAUGUACAAAUCAAUAGCCGCAAAUUCUGUGCUAAGGUAGCAAAAUCAUUUGUCUCUUAAUUAGAGACUAGAAUGAACGAUUUAACGUUUGAGCCACUCUUUCAUUUUUUAAAGAUUUAAAAUUUUUUUAAUUAUAAAAAUAUAAUUAUAUUUCAGAAAGACGACAAGACCCUAUUGAACUUAACUUUAGUUUAACUGGGGCAGUUAACUAAUUAACAUUUUAGUAAUAAUACUUUAAAUAUUAAUCCAUUAUCAUUGAAUAAUGAUUAAGUUACCAUAGGGAUAACAGCGCAAUUCCUUUUAUAAGCUCUUAUAGAAAAAGGAGAUUACGACCUCGAUGUUGAAUUAAUUAUCUAUUUAACGCAGCCGUUAAAAAAGUAAGUCUGUUCGACUUUUAAUAAAUUACAUGAUUUGAGUUCAGACCGGCGCAAGCCAGGUCGGUUUCUAUCUUCUUUAAAAUUAUCCUAGUACGAAAGGACCUGAUAAACU